GAUUUCACCCCCAAAUCUCGGAGAUUUUCCCCCAAACUGUGGGGAUUUAAUUCCCAAAUCUGUGGGGUUUCAGCCCCAAAUUUCCAGGAUUUUCCCCCAAAACCUCUGAAAUUUCAGCCCCAAAUUUUCUGGGAUUUGUCCCCAAAUCCCCCAGGAUUUCACCCCCAAAUCUCGGAGGUUUUUCCCUAAAACUGUGGAGAUUUAAUUCCCAAAUCUCUGAAAUUUCAGCCCCAAAUUUUUUGGGAUUUGUCCCUAAAACUGCUGAGAUUUCACCCCCAAAUUUCCAGGAUUUUCCCCCAAAAGCCUCCAAAAUUUCACCCCCAAAUUUCUNGACACAGGGGGGUUUGGGAUUGGGGGUCAGGAUUGGAGUGGUAUUGGGAUGGGAUCGGGACUGGGGUUAGGAUGGGAUUGGGAUGGGAUCAGGAUUGGGAUUGGGAUGGGAUCGGUGCCCGUGCUGGGCAGGACGCAGAGCAGCGAGUCGGCCUACGUGUGAUGGGAUUGGGGUCAGAUUGGGGUGGGAUUGGAGCUGGUGCUGGGCAGGAUGCAGAGCAGGGAGUCGGCCUGUGUGUGAUGGGGAUGGGAUUGGGGUCAGGAUGGGAUUGGGAUUGGGAUUGGAGCUGGUGCUGGGCAGGACGCAGAGCAGCGAGUCGGCCUGUGUGUGAUGGGAUUGGGAUUGGGGGUCAGGAUUGGGAUUGGAAUGGGAUUGGAGCUGGUGCUGGGCAGGAUGCAGAGCAGCGAACGGGCCAAUGGUGAUGGGAUUUGGGUUUCGGGUCAGGAUUGGGAUUUGGGAUGGAUGAGAUUGGUGCCAGUGCUGGGCAGGAC
rnacentral:lncRNA from 1 species